AAAGAAAUAGUAAUCAACUAAACUUUUAGUCUAAAGUUUACAAAAUGGAAAUGUGCUGUGAACUUAACAAUCUACGUGAAAUGGUGGUUCAAUCUAUAAGUCAAGAAUCUACCAAAGUGUUGUCUGAAAUAGCAACCUGCAAGAAU
rnacentral:lncRNA from 1 species